AAAUGAUUCAACUUAAAAAUAUGGAAGAAAUGACUUGGCGAAUGGAUGCAGUUGAGUUGGUACUUCAAACGUCAUUAAACUCAUUUAACAGUUCUUUUACUUCCUCUGCUACUGCUGGUUGAGUGGCGUGUGUGGUUAGCGACAGUAGUAAACCUCCGUCAUCCCCACGAAGCUAAAGCAUGGAUACAUGAACACCUUCCACCAAAGCUUUAUCAAGUUGUUGCUUCAUAACUGUUUUCACCCCUAGUAGAAGAAGAGCCUUUCAACACAUGUUUUUUACCAUGAAUCUUGAAAUCUAUUGUCAAUUUGUUAAAAUUUCAAGUAAUGUCUCCCAAAGUAACUAACUACUCAAUUCCUAGGACGACAUCACAACUGCUGUUUUGAAUGUGAGCGGAAUUACAAUUCUUCAAAUCGCUAAGUAUACGUGUUGCUCCGGAGUUAUAAAUUGCCCAAGAUAUUAACUCCCCAAGCUACGGUGGUCAAUGGUGAAGAAUUACCAAGCACAUAUUGCCGCUGUCUUUUAACAACCGAAGUGAUAGCGUGGAGCUCACGAAAUGUAAGUGGACAAGUGAAGCAAUUAGAAAGCAAUCGGAUGAUUUGAUUGCAUCAUUACAUUGCCCAAACCCAUGCCGAAAGCGUCGGUCUCGACAAUCACAAUCAAUGGUAAGGUGAAAUUCUGCAAAUCAAAGACUUGAACUUUGGGUCCCCUUUCAAGAGCAUCUUUAUACAACAACGCAGUAAGGGGAGAAGCAAUCUUUGCAUAAUCGCGGAUGAAGCGACAGCAGAAUGUACCAGUUCAGUCGGCUAAGUUUUUGGUAUAUUAAUUUUUUUAAUACAUGUUAAAACAUCAGUGUCUAUUGAUAUAUUUUGAAGACUUACGAAGGACAACAUCUAAAACUCAACAAAAAUCUAAAUUCAGAAUUUACUAAGGCCAAAAAAUAAAAUCAACAUUUUGAGGGAACCUAUCGUAAC
rnacentral:sRNA from 1 species